ACGCUCGACACCUACGGGAGGCAGCAGUGAGGAAUAUUGGUCAAUGGACGCAAGUCUGAACCAGCCAUGCCGCGUGCAGGAUGACGGCUCUAUGAGUUGUAAACUGCUUUUGUACGAGGGUAAACGCAGAUACGUGUAUCUGUCUGAAAGUAUCGUACGAAUAAGGAUCGGCUAACUCCGCGCCAGCAGCCGCGGUAAUCUGAGCGGCUGGCAAGGC
rnacentral:rRNA from 1 species